rnacentral:rRNA from 1 species
GACGAACGCCGGCGGCGCGCUUAACACAUGCAAGUCGAACGGAAAGGCCUGCUUUCCCUUGUGGAUUGCGGGUACUCGAGUGGCGAACGGGUGAGUAACACGUGAGUGAUCUGCCCCCAACUUGGGUAUAAGCCUGGGAAACUGGGUCUAAUUCCCGAUAGGACUGCAGGGUGGUGCCUGUGGUGGAAAACGAUUUUCUAGUGGUUGGGGAUGAGCUCGCGGCCUAUCAGCUUGUUGGUGGGGUAAUGGCCUACCAAGGCGGCGACGGGUAGCCGGCCUGGGAGGGUGGACGGGCACAUUGGGACUGGGAUACGGCCCAGACUCCUACGGGAGGCAGCAGUGGGGAAUAUUGCACAAUGGGCGGAAGCCUGAUGCAGCGACGCCGCGUGGGGGAUGACGGCCUUCGGGUUGUAAACUCCUUUCGACCGCGAGGAAGCCACCUGGUUGGAAGGGUGGUGACGGUAGUGGUAGAAGAAGCACCGGCUAACUACGUG